GCGCCUGUAGUUCAGCGGUUAGAGCGCCACUCUUAUAAAGUGGAAGUCCUUGGUUCGAAUCCAAGCAGGCGCA
rnacentral:tRNA from 1 species